GAUGAACGCUGGCGGCGUGCCCAAUACAUGCGAGUCGAGCGAACAGACGAGGAGCUUGCUCCUCUGACGUUAGCGGCGGACGGGUGAGUAACACGUGGAUAACCUACCUAUAAGACUGGGAUAACUUCGGGAAACCGGAGCUAAUACCGGAUAAUAUAUUGAACCGCAUGGUUCAAUAGUGAAAGACGGUUUUGCUGUCACUUAUAGAUGGAUCCGCGCCGCAUUAGCUAGUUGGUAAGGUAACGGCUUACCAAGGCAACGAUGCGUAGCCGACCUGAGAGGGUGAUCGGCCACACUGGAACUGAGACACGGUCCAGACUCCUACGGGAGGCAGCAGUAGGGAAUCUUCCGCAAUGGGCGAAAGCUUGACGGAGCAACGCCGCGUGAGUGAUGAAGGUCUUCGGAUCGUAAAACUCUGUUAUUAGGGAAGAACAAAUGUGUAAGUAACUAUGCACGUCUUGACGGUACCUAAUCAGAAAGCCACGGCUAACUACGUG
rnacentral:rRNA from 1 species